CCACUAUUUUCAGCCCAAACACUAUUCCUUCGCAAACACAAAAUAAGGAAAGAGAAAAAAUGUCUGAAGAUCGAAACAUUCCCCAAAUUUGACACCACACAAAAACCCUAACCCAAUUUCACCCUUCACCGAUUAAAUUCUCCUAUCAUUCCUUAAUUUCUUCACUUAAAAUCGCGAUUUUUAUUCGUGGAAUCUGUGCGAUCCCAAUAAUCACACACUCCCAUGGACGACAUGGAAGACGACGCAAGGUACCCCCCUAAGUCAUUCUCCCUCAACCGUCAGAAUCCCUCCCACCGACAUAAACACCCCGCACGCGCCGCCCCUUACCACCGCCCAAUGCCCACGCGCUACGACCAGCCCAUGGUGGAAGUCGACGAUGAAGAUGAGGAAAACGAACACGAAGAUUUCAACGACGACAACGACGAAGGCGAAAACGGGUACGACGAAAACGACGUCGUGGGGUAUCCCCGGAUCCCGAAGAAGCGCAAGGUGGUAGUCGCACCAGGGUCCUACGAAUUCGCGCCACGUUUCAAAUUGUCGUACGGUUCGCGUGGUUCGGGUUCUUCCGGUGAAGAGUGGAGCGAGCACGAGACUUUCGUGCUACUGGAGGUGUGGGGGGACAAGUUCCUCCAGCUCGGGAGGAACAGUUUAAGGUCCGAGGAAUGGCACGAGGUUGCCGAAAAGGUUUCGGAGGAAUUGAAGACAGAGAGAAGCGUGACGCAGUGUAGGAGCGUGCUGGACAAGCUGAAGAGAAAGUACAAGAAGGAGAAAACCAAAAUGGAUGAAAUGGGGAUGGGCUCUUGCAAAUGGCCCUUCUUCAAGAAGAUGGACAUGUUGAUGGCAUCCUCUGCAAGGCAAGAGUAUGGCCUUGCGUGUGGGGUGGAUUCUGGGGAGUAUGUGUUUAUGAACACUAGGGUUUACUUGAACAGGUCCAAUGGAUUUGAUGAGAUGAGGGAUAGUCCAGGGGAGUCUGAGAGUGAUGAUGAUGAGGAAGAAGAGGAGUUUGGUGGUGGCGGUGCUGCUGAUGAGGAGGAUGAGACAUCGUUCCGUGUGUUGGCGGAUUCGAUUCAGAAGUUUGGGAAGAUUUAUGAGAAGAUUGAGAACAGCAAGAGGCAGCAGAUGAUGGAGUUGGAGAAGAUGAGGCUGGAUUUUAACAGGGAGUUGGAGCUGCAGAAGAAGCAGAUUCUCGAGAGGGCGCAGGCUGAGAUUGCCAAAAUUCAGGACGGGGAUGAGGAGGAAACCGACACUUCCACGGAGAAUCUCAGUGAAUGAUGUAGGUAGCCCAUCUGUCCCUCAAGAAGGAAAAAUGAUGACAUUAGUCCCUAGAAAUCUCAAAUGUUGCCCACACUUAUCCUUUUCAACGUAUAGUGUGUCCCUUGCAUAAGGACAAUUCAGACCAAAUUUUGAAAUUUUUGGAGAAUAAUGUGACAUUUUCGGGCUAAAGGAUGACAGAGUCAGAUAAUCCUGGAAAGGGUGGUGAUAUCUUGAUAGAGUGCACCAGUUUCGGAGGGAACAUCGUCUACACGCUGAUAAAGAGAUCCUCCCAGUAAGGUUUUUGACCUUUAUGUUCCCUGAUAAUGGGGAAGUUGAUUAGAAAGGGUAAUUUUUUGUACGGGUAACUAACAAUAAUUUUGGUGCACCAUUAAAUAAUUUGUAGCACAUUUCUGUAACUUAUCUGUCUUUGGAUGGAAAUUAAAUGUUAAUAGUAAACUUAACUACACCUCCACUGAAUUGAGAAUCUUGAUGCCACUC